GGGGUUUCGCUUUCGUUAUGAUGGGGGCUUUCGUUUUUGGGGCUUGGGGCUUGCGCCCCGGCUCCUGAAGAUGUAAGCAAUAAAGUUUUGCCACAGAAGAUUCUGGUUUGUUGUGUUCUUCCUGGCCGGGCGUGAGAACGUGUUAUAAGAGUAAAUCUUUAUCGGAAUGCCAGGGUUCCUUUGGGCUUCCACCAAUGUUUCUCUAUGGUAGCCAGGAAGACUUGUGUGUGCUGGGCUGGUAGUAAUACAAGAGGCAACCACAGGACAGUUUCUGCACAAUGAAGUUGUGCCAGUAGAGCUCCAGAAAAAUUACUCCCCCCUCUGACCUUUAUUUAAAGAAGGGACAACAAGCGCCUUGACUUCUUUCCCUUUCCUCCUUAGGAAAGACAUUCUUCCAAGUAUCAAGAAAGGGAGCCCUUGCUUUUCUGGAAGAUAUUUCUUCCCUGCAUCACUCUCCAUUUCCAUGUGACCAUUCCUACUCUGAGCCAGUUUUGGAAAGGAAGUCAUCUCACAUGCCACCUUGGAAGGCAGAGAAACACAGAUAAUCAGGAAAGAUAUUCUUCAAAGUUUCAAACAAGGGUGCCCUUGCUUCCCUGGAAGAACUUUCUUGCCUGCAUCCCUCUCCAGUUACAUGUAACCAUUCCUAACUCUGAGGCAGUUUGGGAAAGGAAGUCAUAUGACAUGCCACCUUGGAAAGCAGAGAACCACAGAUAUCAGGUAUGUGGAAAGAUCAUGGCUAAAGCCUCCCCUUCCAUAUGCCCAGGCCCUUCAUGUUUUGGUUUCAAUUCUGAGCCAAUCGGCCCUUU
rnacentral:lncRNA from 1 species